rnacentral:ncRNA from 1 species
CGAGGCGAGCGAGGGAGUUCGACCGGAGUAGCCGACUUCGGCGGAGUUACCCGCCGGGGCCGACGUCGACGGUCGGGCUGAGAGGUCCGAAGGUUUCAGGACCGGAGGACGACCCCCACCACCUGAUCCGGACAAUGCCGGCGCAGGGAGCCCGUCUCGUAGGUUC